rnacentral:pre_miRNA from 1 species
AUUCAACACUUUCUAUUCAAUCAACAUCCAACACUUUCUAUUCAUUCAAAUGUUGAUUGAGUAGAAAGUGUUGGAUGUUGAUUGAAUAGAAAGUGUUGGA